UACGGAAGGCAGCAGUGGGGAAUAUUGCACAAUGGGCGCAAGCCUGAUGCAGCCAUGCCGCGUGUAUGAAGAAGGCCUUCGGGUUGUAAAGUACUUUCAGUCGUGAGGAAGGUGUUAAGGUUAAUAACCUUAGCAAUUGACGUUAGCGACAGAAGAAGCACCGGCUAACUCCGUGCCAGCAGCCGCGGUAAUACGGAGGGUGCGAGCGUUAAUCGGAAUUACUGGGCGUAAAGGGCACGCAGGCGGUUAAUUAAGUUGGAUGUGAAAUCCCCGGGCUUAACCUGGGAAUGGCAUUCAAGACUGGUUAGCUAGAGUCUUGUAGAGGGGGUAGAAUUCCAUGUGUAGCGGUGAAAUGCGUAGAGAUGUGGAGGAAUACCGGUGGCGAAGGCGGCCCCGUGGACAAAGGACUGACGCUCAUGUGCGAAAGCGUGGGGAGCAAACGAGGGAUUAGAUACC
rnacentral:rRNA from 1 species